AAAUAAAACAAAAGGCUCAGUCGAAAGACUGGGCCUUUUGUUUUAUCUGUUGUUUGUCGGUGAGUAGUCUCCUGAGGAGGACAAAUCCGCCGGGAGCGGAUUUGAACGUUGCGCAGCAAC
rnacentral:rRNA from 1 species